rnacentral:rRNA from 1 species
UACGUAGGGUGCGAGCGUUGUCCGGAAUUAUUGGGCGUAAAGAGCUCGUAGGCGGUCUGUCGCGUCGGUCGUGAAAAACUUGGGGCUUAACCCUGAGCUUGCGGUCGAUACGGGCAUGACUGGAGUUCGGUAGGGGAGACUGGAAUUCCUGGUGUAGCGGUGAAAUGCGCAGAUAUCAGGAGGAACACCGAUGGCGAAGGCAGGUCUCUGGGCCGAUACUGACGCUGAGACGCGAAAGCGUGGGGAGCAAACAGG